GUGAGAAUCCCGUAUGUGACCGGUGAUCAACCCCAUGUGAAACUCCUUCGACGAGUCGAGUUGUUUGGGAAUGCAGCUCAAAAUGGGUGGUAUAUUUCAUCUAAAGCUAAAUACCGGCCAGAGACCGAUAGCGCACAAGUAGAGUGAUCGAAAGAUGAAAAGCACUUUGGAAAGAGAGUCAAACAGUACGUGAAAUUGUUGAAAGGGAAGCGCUCGCAACCAGACCUGCCCGCGGCCGAUCAACCGUCCUUCUGGGCGGUGCACUCGACCGCGAUCAGGCCAGCAUCGGUUCGGGCGGCCGGAUAAAGGCCCUGGGAACGUGGCUCCUCUCGGGGAGUGUUAUAGCCUAGGGUGCAAUGCGGCCAGCCUGGACCGAGGACCGCGCUUCGGCUAGGAUGCUGGCGUAAUGGUUGUGAGCGGCCCGUCUUGAAACACGGACCAAGGAGUCUAACAUCUAUGCGAGUGUUUGGGUGUCAAACCCAUGCGCGUAAUGAAAGUGAACGGAGGUGGGAACCCGUACGGGCGCACCAUCGACCGAUCCAGAUGUCUUCGGAUGGAUUUGAGUACGAGCAUAGCUGUUGGGACCCGAAAGAUGGUGAACUAUGCCAGAAUAGGGUGAAGCCAGAGGAAACUCUGGUGGAGGCUCGCAGCGGUUCUGACGUGCAAAUCGAUCGUCAAAUUUUGGCAUAGGGGCGAAAGACUAAUCGAACCAUU
rnacentral:rRNA from 1 species